AAUGAACGCUGGCGGCAUGCCUAACACAUGCAAGUCGAACGAGACCCUCGGGUUUAGUGGCGUACGCGUGGGUAACGGGUGGGAACCUGCCCAUAGGUUUGCACUAACGCCCCGAAUGAGGUGCUAAUACGGGAUAUAAUCUCCGGUCCAAUGAUUUAUCGCCAUUGGAUGCGCCCGCGUUGGAUCAGCUAGUUGGUAGGCUAAAAGCCUACCAAGGCGACGAUCCGUAGCUGGCCCGAGAGGAUGAGCAGCCACACUGGGCCUGAGAAACGGCCCAGACUCCUACGGGAGGCAGCAGUGGGGAAUAUUGGACAAUGGGCGAAAGGCUGAACCAGCUAUGCCGGGUGAGUGAUGAAGGCCGUAGGGUUGUAAAGCUCUUUUACCCGGGAUGAUAAUGACAGUACCGGGAGAAUAAGCGCCGGCUAACUCCGUG
rnacentral:rRNA from 1 species